rnacentral:rRNA from 1 species
ACAGUCCUACGGGGGGCAGCAGUGGGGAAUAUUGCACAAUGGGGGAAACCCUGAUGCAGCGACGCCGCGUGAGUGAAGAAGUAUUUCGGUAUGUAAAGCUCUAUCAGCAGGGAAGAAAAUGACGGUACCUGACUAAGAAGCCCCGGCUAACUACGUGCCAGCAGCCGCGGUAAUACGUAGGGGGCAAGCGUUAUCCGGAUUUACUGGGUGUAAAGGGAGCGUAGGUGGCAUGGUAAGCCAGAAGUGAAAACCCGGGGCUCACCCCCGCGGAUUGU